rnacentral:snoRNA from 1 species
CUGCAUUCUUUAACCCUCCUGGCAGCUCUGUUAUUAGCUUCCAGGAUAAGAAUGAAUGCCAGAGAAAACCGUUGAUUAAUCCAAAAUGUAGAGCUCUUCUCCCGUGGCUCUUCAUUAUUUCACGUCUUCAACAUUU